ensembl:lncRNA
AUGAGAGGAAAUCCUCUUCCACCGCUUAAAAAUCAAAAGGGGCUGCCCAUCUUCCUCUGGCAGGGGUCUCCCUCAUCAUCCCCCGCGAGGCCUUCCCAUUAUCCCCUGCGGGGCUUUCCCAUCAUCCACAGAGGCCCUUCCCAUAACCCCCAAGCGGGAAGUUCGUGCAAGUGCCGCUCUGCAGGGAGGAGCGAGGGCCGAGGGGAACGCCCUCAGGAGAGUGGAGGGCAGCAGUGGCCGCGGUUCCUCUGCACUUCGUUUCUUCACUCUUUGGAUUGCAGCUUUAUAGAAUCAAGAAAUUGCUGAGCCUAAAUACAUGUUGCUGCAUUGCCUCCGAGAAUGGCCAGACCUAUCCCCAUUCUCACCAGAACAGAGUGUGUGACUCACUGCUCCCUCGCCUACUGUAAGUCUUUUUUCUUCUUUGCUAAUCUGAUGGACAAGGCAGUGUCUCGUAGUGACUUUAGUUUGUAUUAAUAUUUCCUCGAUUCUUUGAGAAGAUAAGCAUUUUUCCCCAAAUGCUGAUUCUUCCCCUAUGAUAACCCCUGUUAAUUAUUUAGAUUAGUUUUUUGCAGGCCACCUUCAUACAUCUGUAUAUGUUAUUUUCUGUUUCUGAAAUGUGAUGCCCAUGUUUCUCUACCCGGUGAACAAUUUGUCAACUUUAAUACUUUACCAGAUGUAACUUUCCUAGGGAUGCUGUUUUCUAACUGCUGCCAGCCCCUUCUUACCAUCUCUCUGGUUGUGCUUCUGAUGCAUUUCCUACACAGUUGUAACCUGUUUCCAGGUCAGCCUCCCUAAGCACCUCCCAAGGCCUCCACCCCACAGUCUGGCACAGAACUUGACACAUACCAGAUACUCAACUUAUUAAAUAUUACUGAAUACUUUUAGAAAAUUGGGAACAUACAGUAAAGUAUAAUGAAGAAAAUAAAGAUAACCAAUAAUCUCACUUCCCAAAGAUAAUAACUACUGCCAUUUUGGUGUGAAUCCUUUCACGCUUUUAAAAUGCAUAUGUAUGUCUAUUUAAUUGAAAUCAUUCUAUUUGUCAUUUACAUUAUCACAUGUCAUUAUAUGGUGAACAUGUCAAAAAAAUUUUUCCAAAGUGUUUUAAAGACAAUAGUAUUUCACCUUAAGGAUAUACCAAAAUUAUUAUGUCACAAAUGUUGGAUAAGAGAAUGAAUGAAAAUGUUUAAUAUAAAAUUGAACGAGGUAGGGGGUAUUACUUAAGGAAAUUAUGCUCCUUUUUUUGUUUUUUUUUUUUUGUUGUUUUUUUGAGACAAGGUCUGGCUCUGUCAUCCAGGCUGGAGUUUAGUGGCAUGAUCACAGCUCACUGCAGCCUCAACCUCCCAGGCUCAGGUGAUCCUCCUGCCUCAGCCUCCCGAGUACCUGGGAAUACAGGAGCCUGCCACCACACCUGGCUGAUUUUUUGUAUUUUUUUUAUAGAGACAGGGUUUUGCCAUGUUGCACAGGCUCAAACUCCUGAGCUCAAGAGAUCCACUCGCCUCAGCCUCCCAAAGUGCUAGAAUUACAGGUGUGAACCACCACACCUAGUCUCCAUUUUGUUUUUAAGAAAACAAUGUUUCGGGUGUCUUUUCUCAGUAUCUCAUUCACUCGUGUUUCUUGGGUGACUACCAGAAUUUCCUCAGCUCUGGGUACUGUUGCUGUCCUCCUCUUGUGGCGCUGGCAUACCUGCUUGUUUGAACUGCCUUUCUCCUCUCCUCAAGCCCAUUUUUAAUUAUCUAGUUACUAGGACAAGCCUCUAAAUAGUCGUGGAGCAAAUAUAGUUAUCAGAAGAGCUAAAUGAACCAUUUCCCUCUCCCUCUACAAAGAGGAAAGCCAGAAAGAUUUUAAACUGGACUGGCAAUUUUAGGUUUCCCAGAGCUGGCUUUGUGCUAUCUAAUCACUGAGGCCCUGCACUGAGAGGAACGAGACGGGGCCUCUGGCAACCACAUCCGGGUGGUACUAGAACAGCUCAGUGCUGUUAUCUAUGACCUCAGAACAAAGUCUCAGUUCAGGGGCCUUAAAAGAGUUUCCCCAUUGAACAAGAAUGGAAAUGUGAAAAUAUGUAUUUAUUAAACAAGAUAAGUGAAGAUUGUUUCAUUUAGAAUGUGAUUCACUAAUGUAUUUCUUUGAUUACUUAGUUAUCUUGGUAUGUUCAGAAUAUUGUAGCUUUCUUUUUUAGCAGUUCUUUAUAUUAAUACAUUUAAAGAGGGUCCCAGAAGUGCACCAGGCUUUAGGAUGGCUAGAAAUGGGGAGAUGGCCUGGUCAUUUUGGGUCAUCUUGGCCCUGGUCUCAGUUCCAAGGAUGUGUCGGAAGAAAGAAUAGGGGUGAUAGCUUAGGAAACUCUCUGGAGUGAAGAGGCAGCUUGGCUUUAUUAGGUUGUUUUCUUCACCUUAAUCCUGAACACCUUUUCAAGCUAACUGGCAGCAAGCUGGACAUCGAGGUAUGUGUUUAGUUCUAGAAACUUCUCUAUGUGUGUCAUGAUAUUUUCUUUUGUUACUAUUUUAAGUCAUGCACAUAUAUGAUAUGUAUUGUAACGUAGUAGAAUAAGUAAAAUUUAUACAGUAAAGGGAGAAAAAGGACCUAGAGAUGAAGAACUCAUCAGCCUCUGCCUGUGCCCAGCAUUCCCCUGCAAGACAGGCAUCUCGCUCCCAAGUUCACUCCCAGAAUAAAUGAAUUAAUUGACUCUAAAAGGGUUUUGAGAACAGUUUCAAGUUAUUAUUGCUUAUGCUUCCUCCCCUAUAUUCCAGAUCCCACAAAAAAGCCACUUCUUGGGCUGACCUUUUUAUCAUCCAUCUCAAACUCAACAAGGGCAAAACUGAACUUCUUUCCUACACACACCAGUUGCCCAAAACUUCUCUUUUCUUUAUUUCCUUAUCUUAAUGAAGGGCCCACUUGCUACUGGUUUCCUAAGCCAGAAUCUGAACAUCAUCAAUGUCUGGGACCAGUUCUUUCCUUCCCUCUUCCCCAACCAAUCUCCAAAUCCUGGAGAUUCUUCCUUCCAAAUUGUUCCAAAUCCAUCUACUUUUUUCCAUUCCCACUGCUUCUUCCUUAGUCAGGACACCAUCAUCUUCUGCCAAGAAGACACCAACAGCCCAGGUGGUCUCCCUGCCUUAGUCUCACUCUCUUUCAAUCUAUUUGCCACACUGACCGGAAUAAUCUUUUAAAACCAUACAUCUAAUCACGUUGUUCUUCAGUUUAAAAUCUUUCAGUAGUAAAGUCCAGACUCCCUCAUUCGAUUAUUAGGCUCCGAAUGACGUGGCCACCAAGUCCCUCCCCAGCCUCUUCUCUUGCCGUAUGUUCACACACUGCACUCUCUGCUCUGGCCAUAAUGACUUUCAGUUCCCCAAACCUAACUUUCUCUAGGAUUGCUGGGCCUUUGCCCACGCUGUUCUCUGCUUGGAACACCUUCCACUCUUCUUUUGGGUAACUCGAUGCCUUCUCCAGGUCUCACCUCAGCUGUCACUUACACAACCCCAUAGACAGGCUUAUCCCCAACCCUUGUCUGCAGCGUCCUCCAGGUGACUGUGUCUCCCAGGUGGGUAGCCCCUGAAGUAAUCCUCCACACUCCAUCACUGUCGGGCAGUUGGAAGGCUGGAGAGGUACGAUCCCCCAGAGUCGACCUAGAUCCUUGUGGCUUCAGCCCCCAACAGGUAGGGAGCCCACUAAGCUUCAGCUCUAGAGCAGAGACACAGACAAGGCUACUGGUGUGUGCAAAAUAUUGACUUGUGAAAAUUACAGUAUCCAAAACAUGAUUUUUUUCUAAAAGAGCUUUUAAAAUUUUGUUUUCUGAAAGUUAAAACCAGAAAAUUUGUGACAGGUUAAGGAUUUAAGGGGAUUUUUCAGUUAUGUGAUGUGAGGCUCUCUGUAGUUUUGUACCAACUAGAUUGUUCACUUCCUAAGAAUGAGGACCUCUCCUAUUCAUCUUUGUAAUAGGGACAGUGUCUUGCAGAUGAAAACAUCCAGUGACCCUACACUAGAGGAGAAGAAACUGGAACACAAAUUGAUUGAAUGUUCCCCAUGUGACAGAUUUAAUAAGGCUAAUGUUGGUGAAGUGGAGGCUGCGCAGGCAGUAAGAGGAUUCCCUUGUCUACUUGGAAGGUGAACAUGAGCUCUGGCAUCCCAGGCCUGGUUCAAUGUUGAUACCCCUGAAUUGAAAGUGGCAUUUCUGUGUACUCUUACAGAUGUUCCUUCAUUUGCCAUCAGAAAGAUAGCUGCAAAGUGAUAUAUAGUAACUUUGGAGGCAUAUUUUAUUUUUAAACCUCAAUUAACUUUGUGUCAAAUAAUCAAAGCUUAACAGGAUGUAUAUUAAAGAUGGUGGGAGGGAAUCAAACUUCAUUUUUAGAGAAAAAUAGCAAAUCAAAACAAGCUGAUGCAAGGGACUUUGUGGCUCUCUCCUUCCUUCAGCUCCUGAUAUGAGUCCUAGAUUGAUUACAUAUUCACACUGAUUAGCUGUGCUUUCCAAUAAUUAGAGCAGCCAUAAGCAUUUGUACACUAAUUUACAGUUCCUAAAGCAUCCUUAGGAAUAUUA